CGACCCCAGGUCAGACGGGACUACCCGCUGAGUUUAA
rnacentral:rRNA from 1 species